ACAAUGCGGGACUAUCAGUCUUGCAAUUGGAUUGAGAACAAUGUACAACUCUUAUCGAUAAGCCAUUGGAGGGCAAGUCUGGUGCCAGCAGCCGCGGUAAUUCCAGCUCCAAUAGCGUAUAUUAACGUUGUUGCAGUUAAAAAGCUCGUAGUUGAAGUGUGGGUGAUCGCUGUUGUGAGACUUCGGUCUCUCGACAGUAAGUCACCCCCUUCCAGUAUCCAGUAGUGGGUAUUCAGUUACUUACUAUUGUGUGUUGGUCCUUUACUGUGAGAAAAUUAGAGUGUUCAAAGCAGGCGUUUGCUUGAAUAGAUUAGCAUGGAAUAAUAAUUGAAGGCUUUCGUGUUCGAUUUGAUUGGUUUGUUCAUGGAAGCAAGGUUAA
rnacentral:rRNA from 1 species